UGCACACAUACGCAAACAUGGUUCACAUAUCUGGUCAACAUUCUUCUACAACUGCAGCCAAAGAAAUGUUACUUUAUACGCAUCUGGUUCCUGGCUAUGCUUAGCUCCUCUUCCUGUGGCGUGUUCUCUGAUAACAAAGAAAUGUUGAAAUUGUGGGGACGUUUUAGAUGAUUUUUUUUUACUGUCAGUCAAUUUACAUUUUAAAUGUGUAACAAUUUAAAAUGAAAAGAUAACUAAGAAGAUGGAUCAGUGAACAAAAAUAGGACAUUUGAAAUCAGUGACGAUGUUCGUGGUAAUGAGGAAAGUUUAGAACCAGCUGAUAUCAAGGAGGCGCGUUUUGUCCCUGAGACCCAUUGCACUGGCACCAGCAGCAAAGAGGAUAAGAGCGCCACUCCCACCACAGCGAAAGAUGCACAGAGAAACCAAAUGAAAAGAGAUAUUAAGAAAGAUAUGCUUAGAUGUUUAUUUAAAAUAUGGAGCUUGUCUUUGAGCUUGCAAAUGAGUCUAAAACGUGACGUCUCUUGCAGCCAUUACCGUUGCAAUGAUAUUUAAAAAGAAAAAACUUGUAUGCAUUUUGGAAAAAAAUCACAAGAAAUCUUGCAGCUAAAAUAGAGACAUCAUAGCUAGAAGCAAUGGAAUGAAAAUCAUAAUCUCCAAGCAAAUGAAGGCUUGCUUCCUGGUCCCUUUAAGAUUAAUCUAAGGCGCCUACCUCAGGGCUGGGAACCUUUCAAAGGCUUCCUUGGAAAGCAGAUCACUGGUAGAAAAAAGGAAGAGAGGAGAGAAAAGCCCUCAAAGGAAGGAGCUGCAAGCACGUGGUCUCCUGAGAUGUGACAUUUCACCUUGGUAGACUGUCCAGGUGGAAUCUGUUCUGACAUGACUGAUACGGCCUUCUGGAAAGCUCAGGGCAAGGGGUGCAGGUCCAGCUUACAAAAGAAACGAGUGAAAGAAUAAGACAUAGAAAGUUAUAGAAGGCUUCAGAACGUGCACAAUCAAGAUGAAUAUAUUCCUGGUCCAGGAGCUCAGAAAAAGGCAUCAUCUUAAAUGUAUUUCUUAUUAUUGGCUCAGAAUUUUUGUGUCCUGGAAGUAGUACGUAUGCAUGAGACACACACGAUGGAGGCGGCUUUGUGGUUUCACAGAUUUAUUUUUUAUUUUUUUAUUAAGAUUUUAUUAUUUUUUUCCUUUUUCUCCCCAAAGCCCCCAGUACAUAGUUGUAUAUUCUUUGUUGUGGGUCCUUCUAGUUGUGGCAUGUGGGACACCGCCCCAGCAUGGCUCAAUGAGUGGUGCCAUGUCCGCACCCAGGAUUCGAACCGAUGAAGCACUGGGCCGCCUGCAGUGGAGCACGUGAACUUAACCUCUCGGCCAUGGGGCCAGCCCCCACAAUUUGGAUUUUAAUGAAAUAAAAAAUGUCUGACGUGCUUGACUGUAUCAUCACAUAAGAAAAUUUGGAAACAAAUGUCUACAAACACUGAACUUUGCUCUCUUUCUGUUGAGAGGGAAGGAAGAAAGCAGUGUUGGUUUUCACACUGAGACUAACAGUAUGACAAAAAGCUGUAUACGAAAUAAAUGUAUGUUAGAAUUUGCCUCUGCAGUUUUCUUUGGUAAUUGAAUCUGUCCUCGUUUAUGAAACAACUCUAGCAUGUGCAGGAUCACCUGGGUGCAGUGGGAGGUUAAAAAGUAGAAUAAGAAGUGAUGCCCUGCAG
rnacentral:lncRNA from 1 species